rnacentral:rRNA from 1 species
UACGAAGGGGGCGAGCGUUGUUCGGAUUUACUGGGCGAAAGGGCGCGUAGGCGGCAUGGCAAGUGGGAAGGUGAAAUCCCUCGGCUACCGAGGAACUGCCCUCCAAAACUGCUUUGCUUGAGGCCGGGAGAGGUGAGUGGAAUUCCCAGUGUAGCGGUGAAAUGCGUAGAUAUUGGGAGGAACACCAGUGGCGAAGGCGGCUCACUGGACCGGUUCUGACGCUGAUGCGCGAAAGCGUGGGGAGCAAACGGG